CACCUAUCUGGAGAGGCCCAUCCAUAAGACAGUCACCCUCCUGGAAGCCGAUCAAGAAACCUGCAGACCCCUUUCACAGAAAUCACCGGUGAUUGGUGGGAGUGUAACUGACAGUUAGACUUACAGGUUAUGUCGUUGUCUUUUGUUUGAAUUGUUUACGUGUCCGCUGUGCGGGGGAAAUGAUAAUACAAGUGGAACUACGUAGCUAAUACUGUUGUAACGGGGAUCCUUAUUGUAGCAACACACUUUUGGAGGGAAGGCAAUCCUGCGCUGCGUUAGCUAAGUUUUCAUGUCAUCGGGUGUAGUUCAUAAAGGUUGAAGAGUGUAUGUUAGGAUGAAGUGUGAAUUCAUGCCAGGAAUAAUAAGUGUGAAGUUUGAUUUCCUCCCUUCUGUAAUAAGCAGCCAAUGAGGUGAUAAUUCUGACUAAAACUACAGAAUAAAGCCGCCAGUUAAAAUCAA